CAACUUUAUCCCUCCAGAGAUACGUUGAAGUUCACUAGGCAUGAGAGUGUAUUUCAAGUGCCUGUAUUAAUAUGAUUGCUGUAAAUAUUUACAUUCCGGCCAAGAACUGGGUUAGGAGCGCUCUUCUGUAGUUACUACAAACCCUCCUCCUUCCGCCGUCAAAGAAUCCUCAGAAGGUGGAGCAGAACAUCGAAGCAAACUUUGCAUGCUCACGCCGCGCGGGCCACCAGACCGGGCGGGCAGCGGGGACCGCCAGCUCCACGAUCAAGGCCAGGGUCAGGCCCACUCCCCCACCGGGCGCUCGGGCAAUCCGGCCACGGCCGCGGGGAGCUCGGCGCGUCACCCCGGCCUCGCCCCCCGCCCCGCGGCGGCCUCGGCUCCCAGGGCAGGGAAUCGAGGCUGCGCUGCGCCGCGCUGCGUUCGCACCCGACCCGCGCGCUUGGGGUGCCGCCGGAGGAACCGAGGCCCGGGCCGCGCCCCUCCUGGCCCCGGCCCAGCCGCCCUCGGAGGGAAAGUUGUUGCUCAACCCUGAGGAAUGCGGAGCCACAGCGGCGGCGGGAGGAAGCGGCGGGAGAUUACGACGACAGCCGCCGGGGACCGCGCCGGGGCGGCGCGCAGCGAACUUCGCCCGAACAUAAACAGCGGCCCAGGCCCGGGAAGCGGCGCCGCCCGAGGCCCCCGCGGACCCGCAGCCUGGAGGUGACAACCACGCGGGGGGGGGGGGGGGGGGGAAGACGGCCAAAGCCAGCACACCCCCCCCCCCCCCCCCCCCCCCGCCCGGCCGUUCGGGAAUGCGGGGCAGAGGCAGGGCCCAAGGACCAGGCAAGAACCGCCCACCGAAAACUCCCAGGCGGCAGGGAUUUUUGUCUUUUCUGUUCACGAUUAAUCUCCCACGCCAAAGAGUGCCUUGUGAACAUAGUAGGCCCUCAACAAACGUUUCCGAAAAGAGUGGCCUAACCCCACCCCCACCCCUGGCCUCAGUUUCCUCCCAGGUACAAGGAAAGGUUUGAUCUCAGAGGCCCCUGGCAACUCUGAAACUCUAGGAUGCUGAGAUUAAAUCCCAUGUGUACUGCUGUGGUUUUGCUUUUAGUUUUUCAGGGACAUUUUUAGUGCUACCCUUUAUGAUGUGCCAGGAGUGAAUUUGACACCAGAUGGCUUUUUUUUUUUUUUUAAAUAAGAAAGAAGACAAAGGGAGGGAGAAAAAUAUUUUCCAACUGGCAGUGCUGACAGCAUUUUGGAAGAGAAUCCAGGGAGGCAAAGAGGAGCUGUUUCAGCUUGAUUUUUUCCUCCUCCGGCACACUCUGCCCCCCUGGCCUCCACCAUAAAUGGGGUAGAUCAUACUGGAGCUUUUUAUAGACAGGCAAAGGGAACGUCAUCACAGGAAACUCCACCCCGACUUGGGAGUUGCUUUGUCCUCCCUGGCUCUCAGGGAGGACUGGCCCCAGAGCCACGGGGUUAUGGAUUCCAGCUAUAGGGAGGCUCUGACUAAAGGCGGACUCUGGUGUUAAUUAGAAGAACAGACAGACACCUGGCAAAUCAAAAGUUAGCACUCCCUGCCUGGGGAACGUGAGGGAAAAAAUAGCCAAAAUGGCAGUGUCUUUCCCGGAAUUCCUCUUCUCUUGGAUCCCAAAGCCCUCUCUUCGCGUUGCUCAGAAUGGCCUCUAGCUCAGUUCUUAAUGUUGUGGCAAGAAGGGAAAUUCCUAGAAUAAGCCAAUUUGGCAGUGAGCACAAUGGCGUCAAGUCGGGAUGCUUCAGUCAGACUGCUGGGGUUCACAUCUUGGCUGCAUCACUUACUAGUUGUUUGACCAGGACAGGUGACUCUACCUCUCUGUAAAGUGGAAUAAAGUCCUCACAUUGUAGGGCUGUUGUGUGGAUAUAAUCAGAUAAUACAAGAAAAAUGCUAGUGGUCCGCCUCUUCGACAUACCGAUAUGGAAACAGGAAGAUGGAUCCUGGAGAUACUGAACUUUCCUGGGGGAGGAGGUGGAGAAGGAGUGGGAACAAACACUGAGCGAAAGUCAGCAUUCUGAAUUGUGUUCCUCAGCCUGCUCGCCACAUGCCACUCCCCACUUCCAAUGCUACACCCAGCUCUAGGACUCCGGGCAGGUGGUGGGCUUCCAGCUGGAGACUAGACUCAAGGACCUUUCCAGAAAAAAACAAGCUUGCGCCAUCGAUACUGACCUUUGGGGCUCCCCAGUGAAAGAGUCCAGCCAGCCACCUGCCCUGUGGGCCCUACCGUAGCCCUACGGUACGGGGCCCUACUGUAAGCCCACAUGGAGCACUUCCAGAUCCAUCCAGUGCCUCCUUCUCAAAUACGAAAGGACGGCCGAGGCAGACCAGACAUCCGUGGAAAGGCUCCAGUGAGAUACAAAUCAAAACAGCAGAAAAUGGGAAAUCAGAGGAAACUGAGACAAUAUAGAGAGAAGAACAAAUUAAUAUUCUCGGAGAGAGGGUACUGCCCGUAUCAAGAGAACCAAGAACAGGAAACCACGCAAAAAAGAAAAGAAGAGAAAAACCAGGGAACAUGAAAGCACUCUUGAGAAUUAAAAGAAAAGAAAAGGGUUCGUGACAACAUACUUAGUAAAUGGGUUGGAAUACAGCAUGGAGGAAAUCUCCCAGAAAAUAGAAAAAAGAGAUGGCCAAUAAGAGAGAAAUAAUAAGAAAAUCAGAGGAUCAAUCCAAGAGGUCCAGUAUCCAAAUGGCAGGAGUUACAGACAUUCCAAAGAAAUAAUAAAGAAAUUCCCAGAACUAAAAGGCCUACCCUGUAAAAACAGAGGUUCUUAAACUUUAAUAUGCACAAAAAUACCUGGAGGGAUUGUUAAAACCCAGAUUAUAUAUAUCACAUAUCAUAUAUAAAUAUAUAUUAAUAUAUGAUACUAAUAUAAAAUAUAUAAACUAUUCAGCCAAUUCAACACCUAGAGAAGGAAAUCUUGCCAUUUGUGACAACAGGGAUGCACUCUGAGAGCAUUAUGCUAAGUAAAAUAAGUCAGACAGAGAAAGACACAUACUGUAUGAUCUCACUUAGAUGUGGAAUCUAAACAACAAACAAAACACCAAGCUCAGAGACACAGAGAACAGACUGGUGGUUGCCAGAGGCAGGGGGUGGAGGUGAACAAAGUGGGGAAAGGGAGUCAAGAGAGACAAACUUCCAGUUGUAAAAUAAAUAAGUUGCAGGGACACAAUGUGCAGCAUGGUGACUACAGUUAUAAUACUGUAUUGUAUAUUUGAAAGCUGCUAAGAGAGUAGAUCUUAAGAGUUCACAUCAUAAGAGAAAAAUGUGUAACUAUGUAAGGUGGCAAAUGUUAACUAGACGUAUUGGGGUGAUCAUUUCGCAGCAUAUACAAAUAUCAGAUCAUUACGUUGUACGCCUGAAACUAAUACAAUGUUCUAUGUCGGUCAUCUCUCAAUAAAACAACAACAGCACAGAUUGCUGGGACCUAACCAGAGUUUCUAUUCACUAGAUGGGGGAUGGGGCUCACAAGGUGCAUAGCUAACAUGUUCCCUCCCACGUGUGGUAUUGAUGCUGCUGGUCUGGGGACCACACUUUGAAAACCACUGUUCCAUUAAAAAGGCCUAUCAAGUGCCAUGAAACAUGA